rnacentral:rRNA from 1 species
AAACCAACAGGGAUUGCCUUAGUAACGGCGAGUGAAGCGGCAAAAGCUCAAAUUUGAAAGCUAGCACCUUCGGUGUUCGCGUUGUAAUUUGAAGAUAGUUUCCUUGAGUAGUCCUUUAUCUAUGUUCCUUGGAACAGGACGUCAUAGAGGGUGAGAACCCCGUAUGAUUUUGGAUACUACUCUUUGUGGGAUUCUAUCGAAGAGUCGAGUUGUUUGGGAAUGCAGCUCUAAGUGGGUGGUAAAUUCCAUCUAAAGCUAAAUAUUGGCAAGAGACCGAUAGCGAACAAGUACAGUGAUGGAAAGAUGAAAAGAACUCUGAAGAGAGAGUGAAAAAGUACGUGAAAUUGCUGAAAGGGAAGGGCUUGAGGUCAGACUUGGUGUUUAAUGAUUAUCAGUUCUUCUUGGACUGUGCACUCGUUUUUCACCGGGCCAAUAUCAGUUUUAGCGGUAGAGUACCCCUUGAAAUGUGGCUUCCUUCGGGGAGUGUUAUAGUCUUGGGGAGAUCUACUUGCUGGGACUGAGGACUGCGCUUCGGCAAGGAUAUUGGCGUAAUGACCUUAAGC